UGACAAGUGGCAGAGUGGGAUUCGAACCCAUGACCUCUGACUCCCAAGCCCAUGCUCUUUCCACUGAGCCAACCACCAGGCACCCAUUUCUUAGCUUAAUGUUUUGAAAUAGAGAACUUGAAGCAACUGAAAGCAACUGAAUGCCUGAAUGAUUUGGAUUUUGCUUUGGCAGUAAAAGUAAUUCGCCUGAAAACUGUGAAGGAGUUGGCUGGUUGUAGGUCAAGUGUUUCGUCAUCGUGCCUGCUUAUUGCAACAACAUUUGUAGGAAUUUCAGUGGAGGAUCACCAUAAGAGACUCUCUAAGCAAUCAAUUUUAAAUGGUCAGGAAAGAUCUUUUUUUAAAAUGACCCUGUCUAACUCACUGGAAGGGAUGCACUCAAGCUUGGUAAACAAGAAGACCAUCGGCACAGCUCCACGGCCUGUUUACCCAUGGAAGAUGACUGGCUUCUUGGCUGAAAGGGGCCCAUGGCUGCUGUCCCUAAUGGAGAUGAGGUAACUGAGGCCCAGAGAAGUUAAAUGACUCGCUCAAGUUCACACAGCAGACACGUGGCGGAGCCGGGAUUGACCGAUUGGGGGAUUGAUCUGGAACCGACUGGGAUUAAAGCACUGGAGCUGCUGUGACUAGGGUCCGCCCCCACCCCAUGGGACCACACAAGCAUUGUGGCUUUGGCUGGAAUCUGCUGUCACUGCAAAAGCAACCCAGAUGAUAAUGGUGGUAAAUCCUUUACCCUAAAUCCCUUACGCUGCCCGGACGGAUCAAGCUGGGGACAAGGUGGGAGGAUGGCUUCCCACUUGUUUUUGGUGUGAUGGUAAGAGGAACUGCUUGCGCUCAGCCCUGGAGGGUAAAAAAGAUGCAUCCUCUUCAUCCUCCUGCUGGCCGGGGAUGAGAAGGGGGAGCUGUCAUCUUAGAUCCAUUUUAGACUCCUCUUCUGCUGCUUUUCCAGCUCCCAAAGGCGGGGUAGGGUAGCUAGCUGCAGGUGCCCUUCUUUUACAAAAACCCUGGGAUGAAAUUAAUAGUCUUUCCUAUCCCAAGGGGAUGCGAUCAUCCUUUCAUUGCUGUUGAGUUGGCCGGCAACUAUGGUGAGCUAGGUAUAUACCCUGAUACAUAGUAGAUAUAUAUGUUUAUGAUGCCACUGGCAAUGAAACUUAUCCAUGGUUGCCCGUGUGGCUGAAAAAGACCUAUCUGUGCUCCAUAGUCCCAAACACACUGUGCACACACAAAGACCACCUUUUGUUGUUCACUUAUAAUUAUCGUUUGCAGCUCCUGGCACUAUUUUCACUUUUGCCUCCUCGUCACAAGGUCCUUACAAAGCUUUCACUCGAAAAGAGCAGCUCUUUUCCCCUUGCAGCGCGGUACAUCCGGUCCGCCUGCGACAACCCAUUCCCGGUUUUCAGUUGAGAUGCAGCACUAUCCGAGGCUUCGUUUUACUGUAGCCUUUCGACAGUUUUGCUGUUCUUCUAAUUACAACUCCUCCUCCUCCUUGUCAGUGACCAGUGGUAUUUAUUGAGUGCUUACUAUGUGCAGAGCACUAUAUUAAGCCCUUGGGAGAGUAAAAUACCAGAGUUGGGAGAUAAGUCCCCUGCUCACAGUGAGCUGCUUGGAGAUCUUAUUAUUGUGCAUUUUUCCCACUGUCCUACGUGCAGCUAUGUCGAGGUGGGCAUAGCUUCAGUGCAAGGAGAGUGACUUCCUUCUGGUGUCCGUGAUCUUGUCGUGCCUUUCGAUGCUGAGGAUAGCUGGUAAGUCUGCCGAGAGACACGCUCCUUCUGGAGCUGGACGUGACAACUGUAGCCAGGGCAGGCCUUGCAGCUGAGAAGAAAGUUGCUCUUCACUACAACUGUAGACAUUUUAGCCUCAUGUGACAUUUUAGCCAUGCUCGGCCAGUCUUCCAAAGCAUAUGCUGGGCUUCUUGACUGGGUUUUCUACUUUCUUGUCUGUCAUUGAAUAAUUAAAGUGCUAAGUGACAGAAUUUGGUGACUGCGUUUAGGUCAGUGUCACCAAUAUACAUUCUGGGUUGCAUGGCUGAUCAUCAUCAUGGUGGUAUUUACCGAGCUCUCACUAAGAGCUUGGGAGAGGACAAUACAACAGAAUUGGCAGACUUGUUCCCUGUCCACAGUGAGUUUCCAGUCUAGAGGGGGAGAUAGACAUUCAUAUAAAUAAAAAUAAUUUAUAACAUAUAAUUUAUAGAUAUAUGUAUCCGUGCUGUGGAUGCCUCGGUUUCCUUAGGCUUGUCGUCAUCUUAUAAUGCCUGGCUGCUUUAGUAGAGCAGUUUACAAUUAUUUGCAUUACCCUCUAGACUCUAAGCUCCUUGAGGGCAGGGAACCGACUCUGUCAUACCGUACUCUUCCAAGCACUUAGUACAGUGCUCUGCACACAGUAAACACUCAAUAAAUAUGGUAGAUCGACUGUAUUGUCUUUGGGUGUGUCCUUUUCAUAUAGCAAUUCUUGAUUGGAUGCCUCUAGGACUAAGUCAGUAGGGCAGCCUUGGCUCUGACAUGGCCAGCCAUGCUGUCAUGAAAUAAUUUCAGAAUCUUAAUGUACUUUUUCAGAGCUGCUAAAUUUACUAAACAAUUUCCAGAGUCUAGAUCUCCUCAAAAACCUCCAAUUUGAAUCAAACAGGAAGUCCUUACCAACAGCUUUAAAGCAAUCGAUCAGCCCACCCCCCUCUAUCUUACCUAGCUGAUUUCCUGCUACAACCCAGACCACAGGCUUCGCUCCUCUAACACCAACCUACUCAACGCACCUUUAUCUCAUCUAUUUCGCCUCUGACUCCUUACCCAAGUCCUCCCUCCGGCCUGGAACUUCCUCCUCCUUCAUAUCCCUUCGACCACCACUCACCCCACCUUCCAAGUC
rnacentral:lncRNA from 1 species